AGAAUGAGAAGAAAAAGGAGGAGCUGGCAGUGUGUGAAGGUACGACAGACAGAUAGGAGGGCUCUUCCUGAGUGUGGCUGUUUGCUCUCUGCUUCUCCACUCCCAAGCUAUGGACUAAACCUACGCUGAUCUCUCUGGAGGAACAUUUGAAGAUGAGCGACCAAGAGAGCAGCACAUCCACCUCUCAGACGGAGGGAGAGGUGGAGGGAGAGCUGGAUGAAGAGGUGGACACAGAGAUGGAGGGUGAAGGAGAAAACGAUUCAAAACACAGGGACAGUCCGCCUCUCCAAAUAUCCAGCUUCUCCUCCACUCUGCGUGCCGUCAUUCGGAUCAAACAGAAGUACCAUGCCCUGAAGAAGAGGCGUCAGGAGGUGGAGGGGGGCGGGGCCCUCACAGGGGCCACAGGGAGGACCAGCCCCAAAAUCUUCACCUUCGACGGAACAACCCCUAUCGCCUUGUCCGUCCCUCAGAAGAAGAAGAGGAAAAGGAGGAGACGGGUGAUGUAUCCCAACAGAGGGAAGCGCCGGGCCCCCCCCAAACCGGCACGCAGCCGAGCCAAAUACUGCCUCUACCUGCUCUUCGCCAUCGUCUUCGUCCAGGUGUACAACGCUAUAGAGAACCUCGACGACCACCUUCUCAGGUACGACCUGGAGGGGCUGGACAAGACGCUGAGGAGGGAGGUGUUCGGGCAACAGGGAGCGGUGGAGGGUCUGCUGUCCCACCUGAAGGAAUACCUGUCCACCUACGUCCACAACAAGCCCCUGGUGGUGUCCCUGCACGGCCCCAGCGGAGUGGGAAAAAGCCACCUGGGACGCCUCCUGGCGGGACAUUUCCGCUCAGUGGUGGGGGAGACACUGGUGCUUCAGUACUACGUCCUCCACCACUGCCCCCAGGAGGCAGACGCCCUGCAGUGCGCCCGAGACCUCUCCGCUCUAAUCUCGGAGAUUGUGGAACGAGCCGAGGAGGAGGAGAAGAUCCCGCUCUUCAUCUUCGACGAGGCCGAGCACAUGCACGGAGAGAUCCUGGAUGCGCUGCUGCAACUCGUGUCGUCAAAACAAUCCAAUGAGUAUCUGAACGCUAUUUACCUGUUCCUGAGCAACCUGGGGCACUCACACAUCACCAAACAUAUGCUGCACAACUCUUCCAGUACUUCUAUGGCGAAGUCCGAUCAUUAUAGUCACUUUGUAAAAGAGCUGACUCCGAUUUUACGCAACACUCUGGAGAAGCUUCACGUGCUGUGGACAGAGGCGGACAUCUUACCUUUGGGCCUUUUGGAGAAAGGUCAAGUGAUGGAGUGCUUCCUGGAUGAAAUGACUCGAGAGGGCUUCUACCCGGAUCAUACCAACAUAGAGCGCCUAGCGGGGGAGAUUGAAUACUACCCCGAGGUAGGGGGACAUGAGUACUCCCAGACAGGAUGCAAGCAAGUGGUGGCAAAGGUCAACCUGCUGUGAAAUGCUCUGCAGGAAGUCUUGGAUGUUUCACAUUCUUGAAAGCAUGAAGACAAUUCGCAUGAUAUGUGGGUGAGGCCUGGUGUGUUUUGGGGGUAAGGGUUAUGAAACUUGAAUCCACAGCUUUCGAGAAAAUAGCAGAGUGAGAAAAUCGCAAAGGGUGUUGAAGAUGGUCCCCUCUGUUGUGGGAAAUGUGGCGUGAAUCAUGUGAAGAGGUUUGAAAACGCCCGGUCACAUACAGUAAACAGUCCUCAGAGGGUCAGUUCACCGUGAGAAAAAGCUGGUUUUGACUGAAUGAACGUCAGCUCUCACAUGUAGUUCGGACAUUAAUAUACCCCUUAGAAUUAAUCUUUAUAACUUUUAUGCUCCCUUACUUUUCUUCUAAUGCCAUCAUCAGAUACAAAGUUUACACAUAAUUCUGUGGCCAAAUAUUUUUGCAAAUGUAUUGACGUUUCCAUCAGAGCAACUCCUACUUGGUGGUCUUACUUCCAAUAUUCAAAAUGAUCACCGCAAAUGAAGUUUCACUCAUUUCCAGUAUAAUAAAGUUAAGGCAGACAUCUAAGAGAAGCAUUUUCAAAAACCUGAAACAAACAUUUCCCUAGAGGUAAUUGAAAAUGACUUAUUUAUUAUGUGGGAACUGACCCUUUGCGUAUGUCACAACUACAUGUUAGGCAGCUCAGACCGACGUUGGACACAAGCAAUAUGCAUUCAUGUAAUAGUGAAGUUCAGAUAUUUAUAAUGCAGUUACUAACACACAUUGUCAAUAAGAAGUUGCUUUUUUGUCAGAAAUGUCUUACGUGAUGCAGCAUGACUUUUAUUAAUGCUAGUGCAAGUCUGUAGAUAGUCUUAUUUAGUCCACAUUGUAGAUUUACUUAUAAUGUGAAUUUAAGUAACUCAUUCUGGCUUAGACCUGCAGAAGAAGAAUAUCUCCUCUUUGUUUUAGAAUACCUGACACAUUUAUUUAUUCAAGAUAGUUUUGCAUGGGUAUGCUACAUGUUCACAUCUAGAGAUAUUGACAUAGGGUCAACUCAGACUUGCACUAGGAUUAUGUUUUAUUGACCUAAUGAAAGUGAUCGAGUCAAGAGUAUGUUAAUAUCCUGUAUUCAGGUAUCUUACAGUCGAAAUGUAAACUUAAUUGCGUUUAAAAUUAAAAAGACACCAUUUAAACAGC